rnacentral:rRNA from 1 species
GACGAACGCUGGCGGCGUGCCUAAUACAUGCAAGUCGAGCGAAUCAAUAGGAGCUUGCUCCUGUUGGUUAGCGGCGGACGGGUGAGUAACACGUGGGCAACCUGCCUGUAAGACUGGGAUAACACCGGGAAACCGGUGCUAAUACCGGAUAAUCCUUUUCCUCUCAUGAGGAAAAGCUGAAAGUCGGUUUCGGCUGACACUUACAGAUGGGCACGCGGCGCAUUAGCUAGUUGGUGAGGUAACGGCUCACCAAGGCGACGAUGCGUAGCCGACCUGAGAGGGUGAUCGGCCACACUGGGACUGAGACACGGCCCAGACUUCUACGGGAGGCAGCAGUAGGGAAUCUUCCACAAUGGACGAAAGUCUGAUGGAGCAACGCCGCGUGAGCGAUGAAGGCCUUCGGGUCGUAAAGCUCUGUUGUUAGGGAAGAACAAGUACCGGAGUAACUGCCGGUACCUUGACGGUACCUAACCAGAAAGCCACGGCUAACUACGUGCCAGCAGCCGCCGUAACAC